rfam:Rattus norvegicus chromosome 11, whole genome shotgun sequence.
GGGGAAUUAGCUCAGUGGUAGAGCGCUUGCCUAGGAAGCGCAAGGCCCUGGGUUCGGUCCCCAGCUCCA